AUUGAACGCUGGCGGCAGGCCUAACACAUGCAAGUCGAGCGGAUGACGGGAGCUUGCUCCUUGAUUCAGCGGCGGACGGGUGAGUAAUGCCUAGGAAUCUGCCUGGUAGUGGGGGACAACGUUUCGAAAGGAACGCUAAUACCGCAUACGUCCUACGGGAGAAAGCAGGGGACCUUCGGGCCUUGCGCUAUCAGAUGAGCCUAGGUCGGAUUAGCUUGUUGGUGAGGUAAUGGCUCACCAAGGCGACGAUCCGUAACUGGUCUGAGAGGAUGAUCAGUCACACUGGAACUGAGACACGGUCCAGACUCCUACGGGAGGCAGCAGUGGGGAAUAUUGGACAAUGGGCGAAAGCCUGAUCCAGCCAUGCCGCGUGUGUGAAGAAGGUCUUCGGAUUGUAAAGCACUUUAAGAUGGGAGGAAGGGUUGUAGAUUAAUACUCUGCAAUUUUGACGUUACCGACAGAAUAAGCACCGGCUAACUCUGUGCCAGCCGCCGCGGUAA
rnacentral:rRNA from 1 species